rnacentral:rRNA from 1 species
GAUGAACGCUAGCGGCAGGCUUAACACAUGCAAGUCGAGGGGCAGCGUGGAGCAGCAAUGCUCUGACGGCGACCGGCGGAAGGGUGCGUAACACGUGAGCGACUUGCCCGUCACAGGGGGAUAACCGGCGGAAACGGCGACUAAUACCCCAUACGAUGCGAUGCUGCAUGGCAUUGCAUUGAAAGAUUCAUCGGUGGCGGAUAGGCUCGCGGGACAUUAGCUAGACGGCGGGGCAACGGCCCACCGUGGCGACGAUGUCUAGGGGUUCUGAGAGGAAGGCCCCCCACACUGGGACUGAGACACGGCCCAGACUCCUACGGGAGGCAGCAGUGAGGAAUAUUGGUCAAUGGGCGGAAGCCUGAACCAGCCAUGCCGCGUGAAGGACUAAGGCCCUACGGGUCGUAAACUUCUUUAGACGCAGAGCAAUAAGGUCCACGCGUGGACCGAUGAGAGUAUGCGUAGAAUAAGCAUCGG